GACGAACGCUGGCGGCGUGCCUAAUACAUGCAAGUUGAGCGCUGAAGGUUGGUACUUGUACCGACUGGAUGAGCAGCGAACGGGUGAGUAACGCGUGGGGAAUCUGCCUUUGAGCGGGGGACAACAUUUGGAAACGAAUGCUAAUACCGCAUAAAAACUUUAAACACAAGUUUUAAGUUUGAAAGAUGCAAUUGCAUCACUCAAAGAUGAUCCCGCGUUGUAUUAGCUAGUUGGUGAGGUAAAGGCUCACCAAGGCGAUGAUACAUAGCCGACCUGAGAGGGUGAUCGGCCACAUUGGGACUGAGACACGGCCCAAACCCCUACGGGAGGCAGCAGUAGGGAAUCUUCGGCAAUGGACGAAAGUCUGACGGAGCAACGCCGCGUGAGUGAAAAAGGUUUUCGGAUCGUAAAACUCUGUUGGUAGAGAAGAACGUUGGUGAGAGUGGAAAGCUCAUCAAGUGACGGUAACUACACAGAAAGGGACGGCUAACUACGUG
rnacentral:rRNA from 1 species